UAUGUGAUCGUCUCUCGCAUAUCAAUAAGCGGAGGAAAAGAAACUAGCAAGUAUUCCCUAGUAACGGCGAGUGAAGCGGGAAGAGCUCAAAUUUGAAAUCUUAAAGGGUUUCCCUUUACGAAUUGUAGUUUAAAGAAGUGUUUUCUGUUGAGGUUUUGGUAAAAGUUCUUUGGAAUAGGACAUCAUAGAGGGUGAGAAUCCCGUAUUUGACCUUUACUUUCAACUUUGUGAUACACUUUCAAAGAGUCGGAUUGUUUGGGAAUGCAGUCCAAAAUGGGUGGUAAAUUUCAUCUAAAGCCAAAUAUUGGCGAGAGACCGAUAGCGAACAAGUACCGUGAGGGAAAGAUGAAAAGAACUUUGAAAAGAGAGUUAAACAGUACGUGAAAUUGAUCAAAAGGGAAGCGUUUGACACCAGUGUUGUUUUUCUGAAAAUCAAUUAAAGAACUGUUUAUGCUAAGUUGUUUAGACUUUAUCAGCUAUCUGUUUAGUUUUAGGCUUUUCUUUAAUGCACUUUUCAGUUAACAAGUCAACAUCAAUUUCUUUUGCUGUAAAAAAGCUUGAGGAAGGUGGCUUGAGAUUCGUCUUAAGUGUUUAUAGCCUCUUGCCUAUGCAGUCGGAGAGAUUGAGGUCUGCAGCGUAGAUCCUUCGGGGCUAAAUGCAUUUGUGCUAAGUUAUAGCAUUUUAUAGACAACUUGUUGACUAUGAUUUGUCUUGUAGCUUACUCGCUUAUGUUAUUUUACCUACGCUUAGGAUGUUGAUCUACAGAGCGAGAGU
rnacentral:rRNA from 1 species